rnacentral:rRNA from 1 species
UUGAACGCUGGCGGCAUGCUUUACACAUGCAAGUCGAACGGCAGCGGGGGCUUCGGCCUGCCGGCGAGUGGCGAACGGGUGAGUAAUGCAUCGGAACGUACCCAGUCGUGGGGGAUAACUACGCGAAAGCUUUGCUAAUACCGCAUACGAUCUACGGAUGAAAGCAGGGGACCGCAAGGCCUUGCGCUCAUGGAGCGGCCGAUGGCAGAUUAGGUAGUUGGUGGGAUAAAAGCUUACCAAGCCGACGAUCUGUAGCUGGUCUGAGAGGACGACCAGCCACACUGGGACUGAGACACGGCCCAGACUCCUACGGGAGGCAGCAGUGGGGAAUUUUGGACAAUGGGCGCAAGCCUGAUCCAGCCAUGCCGCGUGCAGGAUGAAGGCCUUCGGGUUGUAAACUGCUUUUGUACGGAACGAAAAGACUCCUUCUAAUAAAGGGGGUCCAUGACGGUACCGUAAGAAUAAGCACCGGCUAACUACGU